AUGGUGAAGGAAGAGGAGGUCAUGGCGGAGGCUGGAGGGAGGGGGUACCUGGAUAUGCUCGGGCUCGGGGAGGAGGCCAUGGCCGACUACUUCCUCUGCCUGUCGCCGUCCUCCUCCGCCGCCGUCUCCACCACCACCACCACCAGCGCCAGCACUCAUACGGUCGCUUCUCCCACCUGCGCCUCCUACCUGGCUCCUCUGGCGGCGCCGUGUCACCACGUCCUGAGCUUCGGCGGCCGGGCGGAGCAGCAGUACUACGGUGGUGGCGACAUCUUCGGUUUCCAGUACUACUACCACGGCGCCGGCGGUCCAGCGGUCCCAGUGGCUGCCCCGCAGAAGUCCAGCCCGACCACCGACUGCUCCUCCUCCAUCUCCACCAUGUCGUCCUCGCCCACGGCCACCGCCGCCUCGGGCAUCUCCACCUCCAAGCCACAGCCCAGCAAGAAGAGAGGAUCAAGAGGCAGCAGCGAUCAGAGAAAGGCUGCUCCACCUGCCGCUUCUACAAACAAGAGGCCCAGGGCGAGGAAGGAGCGGCUCGGGGAGAGGAUCCUGGCGCUGCAGCAGCUGGUUUCUCCGUUUGGGAAGACCGACACGGCCUCCGUCCUGCACGAGGCGCUCGGCUACAUACGCUUCCUGCACGACCAGGUUCAGGUCCUCAGCUCGCCGUACAUGCAGCGCCUGCCGCCGUCCUCCGCGCCGCCCGCCCCACUCCCGGCGGUGGUGGAGCCGGGCGACCUGCGGAGCCGGGGGCUGUGCCUGGUGCCGGUGUCCUGCACCGACCACGUCGCCGGCGGCAGCGGCAACGGCGCCGACGUCUGGUCGUCGGUGCCGGCGAUGGGCAUGCCGGCGACGGCGGAGGAGGAGUACGCGGUCGCUGCUGGGAUGCUUCGCGGGGAUCGGGAUCAUCAUCCUAGCAGGCAGCUGGCCUAG
rnacentral:rRNA from 1 species